GAUCGAUGGAAGGAUCGUCCCAGAGAGAACCACUACGUCACAUCACGCCGGGCGGAGGACGACGAAUCGUUGCUCUCCCCGCUCUCUCCACCCAUAUUUAAAUAUCGGUGAUUCUGUGACGUAGUGGCGUUCCCUGCGACGAAGCAACGAGCAUCUUCGUGGACGAGGCGGGGGACUUGCGGCGCCCGCUCGGGGAUGGGGAAAAGCGAACACAGUUUCUUUCUUCCCUUCGCGGGAAACUUGGCUCCGGCGAUCGCCCUGAAAGUAGUCCCACACAGCGUCUUCUUGAGAAAAAGAGAAAAAGAAGAAGAGAAGAGAGGACGAAGAGGAUAUGAAAAAGUGUCACGAGUGCGAUUUCGCUUCACAAGGGGAUAGAAGAGAAUUAAGUGGGAAAUUAUUUUAUUUGGAUCGAGGCGAGCUCGAAAGCGCGGCUAAUUCAGAGUUGCGGCCGCGUCGACGAUACGCGAGCGUCGUGGAGGGGGAAGAGGACGAGGAGUGGGGAGAUAUAGUAGAGCAGCACGCGUUCCUCGCGAGGCCGAACGUUAGACGUAAACGAGAGGCACAACGUACAAUCUCCGGUAAUAAGUGCGACCGGCGCGCUUGCCCUGGUAUGCGAACGAGGUAUUUCUGAACUGAUCGAGGAGACGAUGAAGAAAGAAAAGGGAAAAAACGAUUCGUUCGAGGGGGAUUGGUCGAUGCGAUCCGGCCUGAGAAGAAGGCUUGGUUUUCGAGUGGGUGACGACGUUUUUCAGGGAUCCGCUUUCGAGAUCGGAAUUUGCAUCGGGGGGAAAAAACGGGGGCAGGAGAGAGAUUUUUUUUCCCCCGAUAAUUCGAGAAGGAGAAAGGAGAUCCCGCGUUCGAAAUUUUCGCGUAAUUACGAGACGAUUAUUUCCGUUCGUCGCGGAUAAUAAAAAGACACUCGCUUCAACCCGAUUUCUCGAAAACAGCGUGGAAAAAAACGCGUGCCCGUUUUCGAUCGUAAACCGGUGAGUUGUAACCACAGCCGUUUCUCUUUUCUUGAACUUUGUAACUUUGUACUUUGCACUUGUGAUUUCGAAGCUUUAAUCGGCACGCACGGAAUAAAUUCGAUACGAUUUCGAAUACAACUUUCCUUUUUCUUUCUUUCUUUUUUUUUUCCCCCUGAAAAAUGAUCUUUCUCGACCGAUUUCCUUCUUCCUUUCCUGGAAAUGCGAACUGGAUAAGCCUCCUUUCCAUCGGUUCGCCGUGUCUAUCUAUCGUCGCGGCAUAACGCGAUCGUGCGUGAAGAGAAGAAAAAAUACGCCACGUAUUUUUAUCAUACACUUCCGUCCUACUUUGUUCAAAUAAAUCCUCCUUUUUUAGUAUAUUUUUUUUCUCUAUCUAAUUUCUCGAGCAAUUAUAAAGAAAGCUCGGUCAAUUUCUUCCAUUUUCAUUCCAUUCACGUUGAAAUAAAAUCGAAGACGAAAACUCUCCCCAUUUUCCAGAGCAAUUCCUCCAUCCUCGAUAGAGAGUUUCUCACAAAAAUUCUUAAUCGCUUGAAAUCGUAGAAAAAAAAAAAAGGAAGAAGAAGAAUCGAAUACCACGUUUCCAUUUCACUACGAUAAUGGAAAAUCGCGACACGUUCGGAUUCGGUUUACGACGAAAAAAUCGAUUCGAGAUCGAGAUCGGCGCGGAAGAUCGGGGAAAAACGGGUGGAAAGGAAAGUGGAAAUGAUGGUGGUGGAAUUCGAGGGGGGGAGGUAAAAUAAGCGAGGAGCAAAGGAUCGUUGCGCGGUAUUCGCCCCGAGGAAACGGGAUCGGCGUGAUCGUGGAUCGGUCGUUAGCGAAGCCGUUAUCGCCAUUAAAUAUGGCGGUGUAUGGCGAGAGUCGCUUUUCAAAAACAUCGGACGAGGGCGAAAGAUGACGAUUCUCUGUAUCCCCGAUAUCGAACGAGAUCGAUCGAUCAGGAAGAUCGAUCGCCGACACUUGCGACUAACCGAGCAAGAAAUACGCAAGUGAAAGAAAUUUUACACAACGCCUUGUUAAAUUACCCAGCUUAUAAUAUAUUAUUAUUAUUAUUAUUAUUGUUCGAAUCGUUAAUUCGUUAAGUAUCGGAUGGUGAAUUUGUUGUGUUCGAUAGCGUGUAUUGAUCGAGGGAAAAAAAUCAUUAACGGAGGAAUUUCCUGUUUAUGAGAAAAGAACCAACUUUCUUUCGAAAUAUACAACUUUCUUCGUAUAUGUAUUUUUAUUCCGAAUUCGAUAUUGGAAUAACUUGAAUUAUACGAGAUUAUACACAAAUUGUUAUUACGAGUCGGUGCGAAUGAGCAAACGUCUCCAAGAAAUCGGAGAUAUGCUUUUCGAAUUUCACGUUCAGCAAAUUUUCCACGUUCGAGAGAAAUUACUCGCGUUGACAAUAAUCGGCAGUAGACGAUAAAAUUUACGACUGUUGUUUCCCGGCCCAACACGUUCGCUGUUCUAAAAAUAUUCGUCAUUAGGCGCAGGUGCGCCGGGCCUUUUACGCGGAAGAGUGAGUAAGAAGACUUCCGCGAACGAGAAGCGAGCGCAAUUGUGCGGCCUUUUCAACGCGAUACUCUCCUCUCGCGAUAUACGGGACUCGGUGAACCGCGAUACGAAACACGACCCCUCGCGCAAAAUCAACAUCCGACGCAAACGUAUCGAGUGGUGCGAUAAAUAAGGCGAUUACAGUUGGUUAAAGGUGCGAGUCGACGAUUCAUCGUUGAGGAUCGUUACGAAGGUAGAAACCGAAAGGGAAACGGUUCGAUUGUAACGAACCGGACUUUGACGGAUAAAAUGAAGAGGGAGAAAAAAAAAUUGUGAAAAGUGAUCGAAAGAGGAGAAAUAGAAGUUUCUUAAUUGCAGCGUCGGAAGAUAUCGCGUGUGAUACUUAUAUAUGACGUCUCUGUUUAUUAGCGUCCGUUGCCCAGUUGUCGAUUCUGCCGUUCCUCGAUCACGACUGGAAGAGGCGGAUCGUCUUGGAUCUUAAACCGUUACCGUCACAAUGGUGCGGAAUCGUUGAGAAAUCGUUGAGAAACCGAUCCAAUUGGCCAAAUUGCGGGAGAAGAAAGAAGGGCGAGGCGAAUAAUCGGAUUCGACCGCUCGGUUCGAAGCGAACGGAAGAACUGAAGCUUCGGCAAGCGCGCGAAGCGAACAAUUUUUGCUUACGUUGAACCGCUUCUCGGGAUCGUGUUCGAUUUCAAAUCGUUGGCGUCAAAGUGGUGGUUGCAUUCGUCGCCGGAGCACCGUUCUCAAGCACCGUCAGCAACGUUGCGAUAAGAGGACGCGGUGAGCUCAUCUUAUCUGCGCAGAAGUCCCCAGCCUCGAAACCCGUGGAAGAGAAACAAAGAGAGAGAAAGAGAAACGGUAGAAGAAAUCCGACAAUCCGAUAUUUCGCUUCCCUUGCUCGACCGCUCGUUUAUCCUUGGAAACCAAGAAAAAUAUCGUGUAGAAUUUUCGACGGAAUUCUACCUUACCGAUCUUCUUCUCUCUCUCUUUCUCUCUCCUUCUCCAGUGCCGAAAUAACGAGGAAACAGAGGGCAGGUGAUCGAAUGAAAAGAAAUACGUUGGCGAUCAAAUUUCAAGCAACGCCGCGCGUUUAUUGGCUCGCGUUUAUUUAUCCGGCGAUAGACCGAGCGAAAACAGGAUGAAAGGGAAGGGAUGCGCGCGCAUAACCUGCCUGCGAACGCGAUCCGAUGCGUUUAAAACUAUCCGACCACUUUUCUGUAGGUGGGAAAAAAAAUAUCUCCUUUCGACGAUCGAGAGUUGGCGCCAUUCGAGGGGAUCGAUUCACGGUAAAUAUUUACCGGCAAAUUUACCCCCUCCCCCUCUUCAACCAUCGAUUAAACACUCGAAAAACAAAUUUCCCCUCGAUCAAGGGGGGAACUUUUGUUGCGUCCACUUUUGACUCCGAUCGAGAUGAAACUUGCCGAGUUUCGUGGAGACUUUUAAUUUUUAAAACUUUUUUAGACUUUUAAAAAGAAAGGAAAAUACCCGACGAAAAAUCAAAUCGAUCCAUGUUUUAUUUUAACUCGAUGAUCAUCGCUUCGAAAAUAUUGCAUCGAGAUCUUUGAUAUCUUAUCGGUGUGUCUCAUCUGAUAAAGACACGAGAUAUAAAUACGCAAUUUUCGAUAUAUUUAGACUCGAAUGUUUCCCUCCUCACCGGUCGCGUAUAACACGAAAAAAUGCAAAACAAAAUUUUUCUUAUCCCUGCGCGGCGGACUCCCUUCGAUACGCAGAAAGAGAGACCGCGUGAGAACCGAGAGUGUCGCCCUCUCGGUUUAAUUGCAUCGCGGUGCGUAAACGUAUCCUCGUGUACGCAAAAGCGUAUUGCGGUCCAUUAAUUAACCGAGCGCGUUGCUCUCCGUGCUGGAGACGUUAUUACGAGGUAUUCGCGCGUCGUAGAUCUUUCCAAGUGAACCGGAGACGAUCGGGCGAAUCGAUACAGUACAGUUAGCGACUAGACGCGGCGCGUAACGUUGAGGUUAAUUUGGGGGGAGCUUGGGUGAGGAAACACCGAGGGGUGUCGAGUGAAAACUCGUUUGUAACAGUGUAAAUUUUCCAUACAGCGCGCGUAUCGCGUAGCACGCAGCUAAGUAGUAAGCGCUCGAGGUAGGAAUUAGCACGAUGCGUACGCGGUUCAGCGCUAAUUACAAACGAGAUACACGCGCCUGCGCGCGCAACGUUUCCACUCCUCCCUCGCAGCCCUGCUGGGAAGCGCUCUACCUUCUCGGCCGGAAUCGUUGGGGCUUGCGGUCUCGCUCCCCCCUCCCUCCGCUCUUCCUUCUUUGCGAGGCAGAAAAAAGUGUACGUUAAUUGGCGAGUCGUCUUUCAACGAUCGCUUCUCCGGGAAAGAAAUUCGUGCGACGAUCGCGCCGGGAAUGGAGAAAUUCGAUUCGAAACGUUUCAACGCCGGUUGAUUCGUUCGAUUAAUAAAACGAUGGCGGAUCGACGAGCAUCGACAAUCACGUAUCGGGGGAUCCAAGUCUCGAUUGACUCGACGGAGGGGACCGCCUCGUCCCGAAGGCAAAUUAUUUCUCCGCAUCGUGACCGGGAUAACUUAUCGUCGCGGGCACAAUUUACCGUGGUGGUGCAUCGUUACGGCCGGUCGGUCGCGGUUGAACGGCCACCGAGAAAAAAUGACCACCGGGCGCCGUGAACGAUUCGCUUAAUGGAGAAAGCGACCGCAAAGGAUAUCGACCAGUUUCCGGAAGGGGGAGGGGGAUUAAAAGUUUAUCAGGAUAAACGACCGAGUCCGGGGGUCAAUCGUGGCUCGAGCAAGAUGAAAGAACCGUAGCACGGCGCGUAAGUAACGGUGAAUCGAACGAUUAUUAGCAGGAAAGCGGAACACGUGGAAAAUUUUUCUCGUCUUUCGCGAUAAAAAUUAUGCAACGUAUUCUUUACGAUCGAUUUCUAUUUUUUUUUUUCUUUCUCUAUGUAUAGAAGCAAAGUGCAAUAACAGUCUCCUUCGCAAAGGAUAAAGUUUUAGAAUAAAGUUAUCCUACGAAAUUUCUCUAUACAAUGAUUACACGCGGUCGAGCUACAGCGUGUAACCGAAAUUACGGUUACGGAACAUCUUCUGGUUUGUUCGCUCGAUCGAGCGUUUAUUAAUCGAAGGGGCCUUGGCUCGGUUUAAACUCAAUUGGCAAUUGUGCCAAACGAGAAACAAAAUUCCACGAGGCUGGCCGUUCUUUCGAAACUUUUUCGUUGCUAGAUUCUUAUCCACGAUUUUUACUCCCUCUGGUUGACGAGCUAGGAAUCCGAGCAAAAUCCAUCCAUGGAUCGUAGACACAAGAAGAUCUUCGUAAAUUCUGAACGCGUCGCAAUUGGUAGUUUCGUGGCUCAGGUCUCGGUACUAAUUAAAGCGACGUACGGAAUAGAGAGAGAGAGAGAGAGCGCCGUAGAUGAGCCGAGAGCGCUGACGCGCUUCAAAGAGGCAAGGUAUAUCGAAACGGUUCAUUGUUCGGCUCGCAAUGACCGAGUGGCCAAGUGUGAGGGUCAGGGGCGCGAGGAGCAAAAGGAGAGAAAGACUCGAGACUGCGUACACCGAACGUACUCGAACCGUAAGAGCCGAACCGACAAACCCGUAGCGCGAGCAUUGCUCGCACUCUGGCCAUCCUCCGUUUUCUUUUUUCUCUCUCGUUUUCUCUUUCCGUUCAUUUCCCUUUUACGAUCUUACGUUUCUACGAUUCUUUUCUUUCGUCCGGGUUUGUGAACAGGUUUCGUUCCAGCAAAGUCGCGCGAUUCGAGUCACGAUUCCCCUUGGCUUCGCGUUUGUCCAUCCAUUCGUCGCGCGCAUAUCUAUAUAUAUAUAUAUAUACCCGUAUUUUUCUCGUCUCGCGAUAGAGAAGUUUGCUCGUUUCCACCUUGAAACGCGAUUGUUCAACCGAGUCGAAAAGUACGGAAAGCGAAGUAAGGCUUUGAAGAAUUAAUUCUUCGUUCGUGAUACCAUCAAAGGUAUUUUAAGUUAAAUCGAUCGGUUUAAAUUCUCGCGGAUCGAUCGACCGUUACGCCGCGAAGGGAUCUAUUUUCGCGUUAAUUAACGGCAUCCAAGUUAUCCGGCUGGCGAGUCGUCGGCCGUUAUAACGGGCGGUCGUUUCAACGGCCCGCUUAGAAUUUUUCACCGGUCGCAGCCAUUUCCAUGUGCUGCCAUCUCGCGAGGAUAAAUUAGAAAACUUUAAUUAACCCAAAUCGCAACGAAACGGAACGAAUUUCAAUUUGAACGGAUACGCAACGCUCCAUUUUCCUCGCUCCAUUCCUUCCAUUCCAUCGUGGAACAUUCGCCACGAUCCUUAAUGCCUUCCAACUUACUGACCGUUCUUUCCAAUAUCCCAGAAACACGCUUCUCCCUUCUAUCGGCCUUUGUGUAAUUCGACAGACGGCAAAAACAAUCGGGCUAAGAGGACGAACGUUUUUUCCACCGGCCUCGUCAUCGUCCAUAUUCCUCGGAUUACCAUCCAUCCGCGCUUCGAAUCCAAUUUCGUACCGUUCGAGCCCGCUCCUUAACGAUAGUAACCAGUUUAGGCCCACCCUAUUUCGUCUCGAGUCCCGCGGAUUAAUCUUGAUCGGCGAUAUCCGUGCCGACAUCCUGUAAAUGAAAUUUCUUCUGGGGUAAUCCGAUUUCGCGCGGAUCGAUCGGAGGAAAUGGAAGUCGAGACCGAGUUCGCGACAGACACCUUGUAUAUGGUUCGAAUCGCGUCACAGAAAGGUUCGGUUGGCCGAUGCACGCAGACCACGGAAAGAAACAUAUACGUUUAUAUUAUAUAUAUAUUUAUAUAUCUAUAUAUAUAUAUAUAUAUAUGUAUAACAUGGAGGCUAGGAAGCACGUAAGACGAGUGCAGCUCUUCUAACGGUAAUUCCUUUAGACCAGUACCGCAACUUGUGCAGCCCAGAAGAGUCGAUGCUUCUGCUGCCGCUGUUUCUUCUGUUACCGAACGCUACGAGCGACCGGCUAUCUCGAGAAACGAGCCAAUCAUCCGUCCGCCGCUUCUUUCCUCCCUUUUCCUUUCUUCUUCUUUCUCUCUUUUCCCUCGACUACGAGAGAGUUCGUUCCAUGCGGCGGCCGAGAGAGGGAGUCUCGCACGAGGGGGCAAGGGACUCCGGCCAGAAGAUGUCGACCAGGAAAAGUAACAGUAACCUUCUCGUCCCGUGCUACCGUGAACUUGCUCGACCUCCUUGCAAUUACCUCGCGAUCCUUGACGCGGCUUCGAUCGUGCAUCCACGUUAAUUAUUACCUGCUUCGCUUCCUUCUUCUCCAAUGGGAGGAGAGACUCUUCGCUCUGUUCCCCCUUCCAGCCGGGCGAAAAUAUUUGACGAGGGAGAGAUGUCGCGAUCGCAGAUUCGAAAACGUUCGUCGCUCUCUUCUUUUUCCACGAGCGUUUACAUUUAGAUCGUUUGGCCGGCGACCAAAGCUCGCGGUGACGGCUCUCAUAGGCGUUAGACAAAAGCACUACGGGCUCGAUCGAGAAUACACACAGUGUCGGGUUACAUGGACUCUCGAGUUCCACCGUUCCGUCCUUCGAUCACGCGGAAUUAUUGGUAUCCAUGCUCAUUUCGCUUAACCGUCCAAUCGUCUUUUUCGUCCCUCUCGCGGCAAAAAGAGCAAACUUACGUACGCGUGGAUAACGGUCAUCUACGAGUAAAUUCUACGGACUUUUUUCCCAACUAUGACUUUCAAGAAUCCGUGGUUCGUUCCUCGUCCGUAAUUGGCCGAGACAACGACGAAUAGAGGAUCGCCCAUUGAAGGCGUGCAAAUUAAUUCCAAAGAUUUAUACCAUUAGCUUCGAAUUAAACUCUUUAGCAGGAUAGAAAUAUAAUAAUAGGGAAGAAAAAAGCAAAAGAAAAUUCUCGUGGAAUCAACUUUCGAUCCCUCGCUCGUUUCCUCGAUGCUCUCGAUGCGUCUCACUUUAAAUAUAUUAUUCGUGCUCCAUAAUAGAUGUUAUUGUUUGUUUCGCGUUUUCCUCUUCUCGGAUCGAGCCACCCGUCGACACUCGCCAUUACCAUCAAACAGAGAAAGAGAGAGCUCAAACUCGCAGGAACAUUUUCCGCUUCCAUCGCGUCGUAGAUUUCACGUUUAUCUCGAAACUAGUUUUCCAAUUUCCUGUCGUUCUCGAAACGACACCUCGAUAAUUUAUUCAAUAAUUUACGCGAAAGUGGAGGAGUGGAGGAAACGUUUGCGAUUUUAAAUACUUUGCACGAAGAAGGAUCGAACUACGUUUCUACGCUUCGUUCAAAGGCAAUCGCGUCGAGAAAGUUCAACGACGAUACGGCCAAUUGGCAAUUGCAUCGUCUGAUAACAUAAUGGACGGAAUGGAUGGACGGAUGCGUGCACGCAUUUGUCGCAUCUACGCGGUGCGUUUCGCUCUGGUUAUAAGUGGUGAAUGGACGUGGUGGCAUGGCGUUUCACUGGCGUACAGCGCUCGGUCGAACCAGCAGUAGGAAGAGAGAUGGGGAUUAAAUUCUGGAGCGGCUCAAUGGACGGAAUAAAACGCGUUAAAUAGGAUCGAGCUGCUUGUUACUCGCGGAGGUGUCUCCUUCGAAGGGCUCAUCAGAGUUCCGGUUCGUUUCGAACAAAAUAUUCUCCAAGAUUAUAGAACGCGAGCGUUUUAUAGCGAAGCGCUGCGGUUUCACGUCCGAUCGGAACAUGUUCGAGAAGAGACUUUGGAUAUCGAUCGAGCGUAUUAAAGAAAUACGCGAGCGUAUCGAUUUAAAUUAUUUACAUUGGAUUUAAAAAUAUUAUUUUCGAUCGGAAUUUCGGAAUAAUUAUUAACAACGUGCGAAUAACGACACUCUAUGUACAUUAUAUCGAAGGAACGUUGCCGCUUUAGCUUUGAAACGAAGCGAACCGAAACGCUCCGUGCUUGAACGUACAACGUAAACCACUAAUCGCUUCCUCCAGAUACAUGGAACGACGCGAUAAUUUAUACCUUUCGUGAAAAUCCUACUCUCAUCGACUCUUAUCCCUAAGCUUGGAGAUUCGCGACGUUUCGUUGCAUUUGUCGCACGCGUGUAAUAAAACAAAAUAAAAAUAGGAACAAAUUUUCUAAUCCGACUCGCUCCGCAUCUUUUCCUCCAUUUUCAUUAUCGAUUUUUCCGUGCGAAUUGGAAAAAGUGAAAUAGCAAACCGGCGAUUAAUCCUCGGAAUUUGUUGUCGGAGAAAACGUACGUGCAUCGCAAUUUUACUCACCCGUAUUCACGCUCGGUGGAAAGUUUUGGCUCGUCGCUCGUGUUUCGUGCGAUCUCGUUUACGUUUUACAAUUGAGCGCAGCGCGGCUCGAUGAACGAGGGAGCGCGCAUCAUCAUCGGAAUUAUUACAGCUUCCGGCGCUGUUAAGCGAAUCCAUAGGGUACAUUGUCGCGGAAGCUGUAACUCCGCGUUGCGUCAUCGUCCGCACGAAACCUGCCACGUAGCGUCUCUGCCGAUUCCCACCGGUUAUUCUCUCUCGUCGAAAACAAAAAGGGUCGAAAGCUGUUUACGCUGGUGAAUUUUUUCGAGCGCGGAAGAAAGGAAAAUAAAGAGGCGGAUCCUUGUCUCGAUACAGAAAUCGCGAUGACGAGGAGGAGGAUCUGGAAAUUAUCGGAAGGACUCGAAGGAAAGGUGGAGCUGCCAAUUUGGCAGCGUGCUCGCCCCCAUAAAUCAGCGAGGCGUUUACCGACUCUGUGCGUAUAUCCGCGUUCCUUCCUCCAGCAACGUUGUCACCGGACGAAAAAACGUCAAUUUAUUCCAGCCGUUCCACCGGUAAUAACCGUGGAGGAAGUUGACGGGUUUUUGGCUCGAUGGACGACGCUUAGCGGUAUCCCGCCUUCCUCUCUCUCUCCCUCUUCCCUUUUUGCCCAUAUCGAGGUGGGAAUUUCAAACAACUCCCACGAGGAGGAGAUCCACGAAGGAAAGAAAAUACCAGAAUGGCGUGCGAGAAUGCGAGCAAAUCUCGACGGGGAGAGAUGGAGAUGAGAGAAGAACAGUGUUAAGGAAAGCGAGUUUAGAGGAGAAAAUUUUAGGUUAACGAGCGGACGAAAGUUGAGGAGGGAAAUGCACCGAAACUCUUCCGAAACUGUGCGGCGAGAGGAGGGAGGAGGGGAGGGGAGAGAGGUUGGUUUUGGUCGUUCGCAAGCAUCCGAGCGAGUGACAGUAGAAUGGGGGAGGGGGGAGGCAGGCAGGAUCGAUGAGGACCACGGACUGUUGGAUGGUCCGCGUGCGUGGUCCCUUUUCACGUAUAAUACGAUACAAUGGCCGGCGGGGAAGAAAGAAUAUUUCCAAAGAGCAGCAGCAGCUGGCCUUUUCUUCCCCUCGUUAAAGUUUCCAACUUUUGCUUCGCAAGCGUUGGACGACAAUUAAGGAAGGCGAAGAGGGCGAUGCCUCGGCGUUCUCGAAAUCGAAAGAGAACCGCGUCUUGCGUUGAGCGGAGAGAAAGAGGAGGGGAGAGAAUAGAGCGCGGAGCAAGGAGGAAGAAAAAAGAGGAGUGGGGGAAAGGUGGCGAAGGUGGCGCCACUAUUAACGAGCCAUCGAGGCGGCCAAGAGGCGCGAUUAAUUUCCCACGGCUCCUCGCGUUACGUUUAAUUAACAUAAUCCGCCCACGGGACCGCGUUUCGCUCGGUAGGGAGGAUGGACCCCUCCUAAACCCACUUCUCUCUCUCUCUCUCUCUCUCUCUAAAGUCAUCGAAACAAGAAAAAAGAGAUUUAAUAAAAACGGGAUACUUUCUCGAAUCGAGUUGUAGAACGCUGAUAUUUACGUUUCGAUUAGAGAUGAAUUUUUGUCGGUCGUGAAAGUGCGAGGGUACGUACCGUGAAGGAUUCAUUUCCAGAGCGUGUCUCUGAGGGAAAAACGAAAGGGUGGGGGGAGAAGAAGAAGGGAGGAGAAAAGGAAAAGAAGAGAACGACGAUAGCAGCGACGACGACAACAACAGCAGCAACAAAGCGAACGAAGGCUCGCGCAGUUUCAAUGGAAGUUGGAGCGCGAGCCGUGAAAGGCAAAUGCGCUCGACGAGCGGCCACGAGAGGGAAAGGGGAGGAGAAGGCAGGCAUCUUUCUCCUUUCCACCGAUCGCCCCGACGGUUUCGCCUAGAACGAACUAGUUCCGCUCUCGUACGUACACCGAGUCCUACAUACACCGAGGCGUGUGUCGCACGCGUGAACGAAACCGGUCCCACCUACGCGAGGCCGAGGGUUGCUCGCGGAGAGGACGGAUUUGCGGACGCGGAUAGAGACCGAAAAUAUUCUAAUUAACCAACCGAAAUCCAAAGAAAGAAUAUCCUCUUUCUCUCUCUCUCUCUCUUUCGAUCACUGUCAACCGCGUCGAAAUCUCCCUCCCUCUCGAAUCGCAACGUGCUUUAAAGAAAGAAAGAACGAUUCCUCCGUGCAACGAAUAAUCCUUUUCUCGCCCGCGAGAGAAGAAUCGAUCGGUCGAAAUGAUCCGCAUCGAAAAUUCUCUCGAGGGCAAUUCUUCCGUGUUCUUCUGCGACAGUUCUGCCAGUUGAACGGGCCUCGUUCCGAGGAGGGAAAACUGGGCCGCGGAAUGCGGUAUGCCGAUAUUCCAACGAGUCGCCUAUUCCCCCCUCCACCGCGAUCCAAGCUAUCCCUCGACUCGAACGUGGCCGCGAUCGAAGUUUUCGGGGGGCGAGGGAGCGAGUUGGAGGAAUUGGCGCUCGGCUGCUGCCGAAAGUUGCACGCCCACGCGGAGUUGGAGGAGGAGCGGCGGUGCGUUAGCCGGAGCAUGGAAGAUUUAUCGUCGAGUUGGAGUAACUUGGGGAGAGCCCUUCCUCGUGUCGAAUUUGCAUUCGCACGUUUAAUUGUUCUCCGGCAGAGAGAAGAGGAAGGAGAAAAAGUACACAGAAGGGAUUAAUUGCAGAAUGGAGAUGUAACAGCCGAGCAAGAUUAGGUGGAAGAAGAGGGAAGGCAGGAGUCGGGGAUCGAAGGGGCAGUGAUUUAUUCAGGGUUAUUGUCCCGCGCGCGGGGUUUUUGUCCCGUGCAAAAGGCAGUGGGGGAGGGGGAGGCCACCGCAGCAUCCGAAACGGCAACAGCUUGGACCGGUGGACGACGGCUUUUUCUACGUACGUGGCCGGCCGGGUGCAUUGACAUCGCCGUAUCGACGUAAUUCUCGAUGCAACGCUUCCGUAUCGGUCUUACGUUUUUAUCCUACCUUACCGACAACUCGUUACGCCAGUCGCCCUCCCCCCUCCCACUUAUAAGACACACCGUCGUAUACUGGGUGUCGUGCCUCGUACACACACCGAUCCCCUCCAUAUUUCCCGAGUUGAUCGAUCGAAAAUGAAUAUCAGGUGGCGAUUUGAUCCGUUUGGCUGACGAUUCAGCGACGAGGAGAGAGAGGAAUCUUGAUCGACCGAAACUUCGAGCAUUAGAGGGAUCAGAGGGGCGGUGUUGCCGCGUCGUUCAUGUGCGUGCGUGCCACUUCCCCCUCGCGAGCCGAGAAAUUGACGGCCUUCCGCGGGACACGAUUGACCGGUGUCGCGGCCCGUCAUUUCCAGUCUCUUUGCUAACUUUGACCGCCGCGAAAAGGAACGAUUAUUCGACAGGGGAG